AUCCACUUUUAUCACUGUGGCAUUCAGCACUUAGCUGAGUCAGAACAUAGGUCCUUCUCUUUGUCCUGCUUCUGACACCAAUGUAACACUGAUGCCAACAGUUGGAUCUGAUCGAAUUUCUGCGUCAUGCAGCAUUAAAACCUUAAUCAUUUCUUGGGCAAACCUCAGCGUGCUGUUGAUGCACUUCCCUGAUGUCUGAUCUCCCCUCAUCUCAGUCUCUUGGCAACUGAUCACGUCUCCUCAUCUGACCACAACUCACCACCACCCUCUAGCAGAUUCCUUACCUGGAACUGGGUGCCUGAUCCUCCUAAUAUGUCAGCAGCUCCUGGGCAGCA